rnacentral:rRNA from 1 species
GACGAACCGUGCGAACGUUAUUCGGAAUCACUGGGCUUAAAGCGCGUGUAGGCGGGCCGGCACGUCGGUCGCUGAAAUCCCCCGGCUCAACCGGGGAACGGGCGCGGAUACGACCUUCCUGGAGGGGCGUAGGGGGGACCUGGAACUUCCGGUGGAGCGGUGAAAUGCGUUGAGAUCGGAAGGAACGCCCGUGGCGAAAGCGAGGUCCUGGACGCCUACUGACGCUGAGACGCGAAAGCCAGGGGGAGCGAACGGG